UGGUGACUAUAGCAAGGAGGUCACACCUGUUCCCAUGCCGAACACAGAAGUUAAGCUCCUUAGCGUCGAUGGUAGUCGAAAACGUCAAAAUAAAAAGUA
rnacentral:rRNA from 1 species